AGUGAACGCUGGCGGUAGGCCUAACACAUGCAAGUCGAACGGCAGCACAGUAAGAGCUUGCUCUUACGGGUGGCGAGUGGCGGACGGGUGAGGAAUACAUCGGAAUCUACUUUUUCGUGGGGGAUAACGUAGGGAAACUUACGCUAAUACCGCAUACGACCUACGGGUGAAAGCAGGGGAUCUUCGGACCUUGCGCGAUUGAAUGAGCCGAUGUCGGAUUAGCUAGUUGGCGGGGUAAAGGCCCACCAAGGCGACGAUCCGUAGCUGGUCUGAGAGGAUGAUCAGCCACACUGGAACUGAGACACGGUCCAGACUCCUACGGGAGGAAGCAGUGGGGAAUAUUGGACGAUGGGCGAAAGCCUGAUCCAGCCAUACCGCGUGGGUGAAGAAGGCCUUCGGGUUGUAAAGCCCUUUUGUUGGGAAAGAAAAGCAGCAGGUUAAUACCCCGCUGUUCUGACGGUACCCAAAGAAUAAGCACCGGCUAACUUCGUG
rnacentral:rRNA from 1 species